AGUCGAGCGAACAGAUAAGGAGCUUGCUCCUUUGACGUUAGCGGCGGACGGGUGAGUAACACGUGGGUAACCUACCUAUAAGACUGGAAUAACUCCGGGAAACCGGGGCUAAUGCCGGAUAACAUUUAGAACCGCAUGGUUCUAAAGUGAAAGAUGGUUUUGCUAUCACUUAUAGAUGGACCCGCGCCGUAUUAGCUAGUUGGUAAGGUAACGGCUUACCAAGGCAACGAUACGUAGCCGACCUGAGAGGGUGAUCGGCCACACUGGAACUGAGACACGGUCCAGACUCCUACGGGAGGCAGCAGUAGGGAAUCUUCCGCAAUGGGCGAAAGCCUGACGGA
rnacentral:rRNA from 1 species